ACCUGUCAGUCUGGGGAUCACCCUCCACCUCAGAAGAAGGGAAUUUUGAAAAUGAACUGGGUUUUAAUUCCAACUGGCAAGGAACACUUGGGACUGAAAUCAAAUCUGGAGCUAGUCACGUGUCAGGAGAAGAUGAAACCUCACGCUCCAGGUGUGAUCAUAAGACUUUUUGCUGCAGCUUCUAAUCAGGUGAGAACUCCAGCUAAAAUUGAUAGAAAUCCUGCCUGUGGAGUUUUGGCCUUGAGAGUGAGCUGUGAAGCAAGAAAAAAAAAAUCAGGGAAUCAAUGUCAGAAAAAAACGUGGUAUUGCAAAGAACUGUUUGUCAAGAAAAUAACUGCAUGGAAAAUAUUCAUGACAGAAUACAACUGAUGUCUCAAAAGAGAUGCCUCCAUUCCCCACCACACUUUUUGCUUUGGUUUAGAAAGGGUGAAGUUCCCUUGGCUCA